rnacentral:rRNA from 1 species
UACGGCGGGUGCAAGCGUUAUCCGGAUUCACUGGGUUUAAAGGGUGCGUAGGUGGGCAGGUAAGUCCGUGGUGAAAUCUCUGAGCUUAACUCAGAAACUGCCGUGGAUACUAUUUGUCUUGAAUGUUGUGGAGGUGAGCGGAAUAUGUCAUGUAGCGGUGAAAUGCUUAGAUAUGACAUAGAACACCAAUUGCGAAGGCAGCUCACUACACAAUUAUUGACGCUGAGGCACGAAAGCGUGGGGAUCAAACAGG